CUGUCAUUCACCUCUGGAUAGAAACCGUGCCAUUCUUAACACACUGCCAAGAACCUUACAAGUCUCAGCAGCGCUGGCAAAGCUAACGGUGUGGAGAGAGGCGGACAGCCCUUCAAUUGAGGCGCUGAGUCACCUCCUCUGCUCUCUGAAUGUUUUUCUACUCAUGGGAUCUCAUCUCCAAGGGCAGAGAGGAAGGUGAAGCCCAGACAGCUGUGGUGAGAGGUUUGGUGUGAGGGAACACUCUCCACCACCCACUCAGGCCUAGCCAGUGUGGGCUGAGUUCCGCCUGGCUCUCCCUAACCUCCGGCUGACUCACCCCGUGCUUGCUACCUAGUCAUAUCUCCCGUCUCUGCUGUGCUGUUUGUUUCACAGGCAGAGCCAGCCCCCUGCCUCUCCAGCACUGGAAAACGCCAGAGGCUUCUUGGGGUCCCCCAGUGCUGGAAGGAGAGAGCAUCCUGACCACCCCCACUUCUUCCUGGGCUUGGUUGAUGAUGGCAUUUAAAUCCCAGGGAGAAAUGUCUUGUGGUCAAGUCCAAGUGGUUGUAGAUUUCCUGUUUUUCAGAUGUGUCCUCUCUACCCAGCUAAGUUCAUUCCUCUGAUUGUCUGUGAUUGUCCUGUCUAGAGGCCAUACCUUUUGAAUCUCAGAAUUGUACUCAAGCAGAUCUCCAUUGAUAGGGAGUAGACAUGGACUGCCCGCUUCAACAUGUCCACCCUGAACUCAUCCAGGUGUUUCGUCCUCCAAGUGCUCAAGAUAAUGGUAUAACGAGGGUCAGUGGAUAUGGUUCUGAGUGACCAACAGAAACAAACACUCCAAAAAUACAAAGAAGAGCAACUCCCCCAAAUCAAAAGACAAUGAGAGAAAGCCAAACCAGGAAUGCCCAAAGUGGGUCUCCACCAACCUGCCAUCCCAGCAAGACCAGAAGAGUGAAAAACCAAACUGGAAAAGCUGGCUUGCCCUCAGUUCUGCAAACAGUAUCUGAGUAUGUUUUACACACCAAGGAAUUCUGGACUGGAACCAGCCUCUGACUGGGACACUGGAGCUGCUUCUUGUGAGGAGUUACUCUGUGACGGGGUAUCUUUCUUAGGAUUACUCACCACC